CAGAACAGAAUAGAACAGAACAGAAUAGAACAGAAUAGAACAGAAUAGAACAGAACAGAGUAGAACAGAACAGAAUAGAACAGAAUAAGAACAGAACAGAAUAGAAAAAGAACAAACAGAACAGAACAGAAUAGAAUAGAACAGAAUAAGAACAGAACAGAACAGAACAGAAUAGAACAGAACAGAAUAGAACAGAACAGAACAGAACAGAAUAGAACAGAACAGAAUAGAACAGAAUAAGAACAGAACAGAAUAGAGCAGAAUAGAACAGAACAGAAUAGAACAGAAUAGAACAGAACA
rnacentral:misc_RNA from 1 species